rnacentral:ncRNA from 1 species
CGGCUAGGUGCCUUAUUUAAUAUAAGGUUAAAAGGGAAACAGGUGGAAAUCCUGUACGAACCCGUCACUGUAAUUUGGGAGUAAAUAUCGAUAUGCCACUGUAUUCGGGAAGGCCGAUAUGCGCUAUGAUCAAUGAGUCAGGAAACCUGCCUGCCGAUG